UAUCAAACUUGUAAAUUUUUGAAUAUUUUCUCCCCUAUUAUAUUUGGAAUCAUAAGGUAAUGAGUUAGGAUCUACUGCUCAUUUGUAGAUUAUCCUCUCUUACUGUAAUGUCUAUGCUUUGUCAAUCUUGACAAGCGUUUACCUUCAACGUGUAUUCCUUAUAUCUAAAUUGUAGCAUACACAAGGUAAUGGCCAUGCAACCCAUUACUAUGAGAUCUAAGUGAUCUUCAAUGUGUUAUGUUCACACAAUUGAGGUUGAGAAUUUUUCAAGUUUUCACUUGACUAUCAAAUUUUUGCAUUCUUAUUACACAACCAUGAUGGUUUUUAAUUUACCGCCAAUAAAUUAAUUAUCUAUGGUUCCCCAUUAGGCAAAGAUGACCGCCAAAGAAUUUUAGGAGCUUGCCCUCAAUGGCUACAAUUGCCUUACAUGGGCUAUGGACAUCAAGAUCAGUCUUGCGUCCCAUGGGAUAGCGCGUGCAAUCCAGCCCUCGGAGGCUCCUCUCCUGGCUAGAGCCACGCCGCUGACAGAACAACAGAAUUAUGAUAGGACUCAUCUCCGCCUUCAGGAUUUCAAGUCCAUUGGGUGAAACGCAUGAUGAGGGGCACAACCUUUACCUGAAGUUUAUCUGAAUGUCAUGAAUAGACAAAAGUUUAAUGGUACCUUUCGGGGUAAACAGUCCAAUUUCAAGCAAAAGAGAAAGCGCAAUGGGAACAGAAAAUUCAGAAACUCAGGUAAGGGAAAGGGCACUGCAAAUCCCAAGUUCAAUAAAUCUAAGCUUUGCAACAAGUGUGGAUGCUACACCCAUUCGACUGAAAAGUGCUCAAUGCUCAAGCAUAUGGUUAUGCUGUACCAUCAAUCUCAAGGACGCAAAGCACCUCAAGGGAAAAGGUUUGAAGCCAACUUCAACCUUCAUCCACAUAGCACAAAAUGGAGCUGGUGAUUCGCACGACGUUCCUCCCGGACCGAGCAAUGCCAUGAUUCCUUAUCCUCUUGAGGACCCUGCUGAAACGGAGGCCAUGUUGCUUGAGUACACCUCAAACAAUAUGUUUGGCGACUUUGCCUAGUCCCUCGAUCUCCUUACUGAUCUACUUAAUUAUGUCCAUUUGUGAUGAUUGUAAUAAGAACAUAAUUUGUUGUUGUCUUUGUAUUAUAUUGUAUUAGCACAUUUGAUAUACUAAGAUUGUAUUCUAUGUAUUAACAUAAGGUUUUCUUAUUGAAAAUUAUUUUGUUUUAUAUAGUUUUCUACGGGAACAAUCCGAUGGAAGAGGAAUUAUACCUUGUAGACAGUGAUACCACAAACUCCGUACCGAGGGAGAUGAAAUAUUUCCAAACCGUGAAAAAGAUGAAUGGAGAUAUUCUAACUAUCAUUGGACGCGAUACAAUGAUUGUUGGUAUUGGACGUGCCAUAUUCACCCUCCCAAGUGGUAACAAGUGACGAUUGAGGAUGCUUUAUUGUAUCCCGACUCAUCAUGUACCCUGCUUAGUUAUCGAGAUAUCCGUAAGAAUGGUUUUAAUAUUGAAACCCAUGAAGACAACAAAGAGGAGUAUCUACUCUUUACUAAAGAUCACGGAUAAGGAAAAAAGGUGCAUGAGAAAAUUCCUUCUCUAUUGUCUGGUUUGUACUAUACGUAUAUCAAACCCGUGGAACAUGUUGCAUACAAAGUAAAUUUUCAGAACGUUGACGCAUUCGAAA